rnacentral:misc_RNA from 1 species
CAACCCUUAAGCCCUCGCUGCUUAGCGUUGGGAGCCUACCCGCCGUCGCGCGGCGUAGCUCCCCAAAGUCAGUGGCGGAGCCAGCCCGUGCUCUAGGCGUAGUAGAUUUCUCAUCUCGCCUCUGCAGCCGCGGCGCGGCCUCCCUGCCGUAAAACACACCCACUUCUUUUAAU